rnacentral:rRNA from 1 species
UACGGGGGGGGCAAGCGUUGUUCGGAAUUACUGGGCGUAAAGGGCUCGUAGGUGGCCAACUAAGUCGGACGUGAAAUCCCUCAGCUUAACUGGGGAACUGCGUCCGAUACUGCAUGGCUUGAGUUUGGGAGAGGGAUGCGGAAUUCCAGGUGUAGCGGUGAAAUGCGUAGAUAUCUGGAGGAACACCGGUGGCGAAAGCGACUUCCUGGUCCAAUACUGACGUUCAUGUGCGAAAGCGUGGGGAGCAAACAGG